AUUGAACGCUAGCGGGAUGCUUUACACAUGCAAGUCGAACGAGAGGCGGACGGGUGAGUAAUAUAUCUGAAUGUGCCCAGUAGAGGGGGAUAACUACCCGAAACUGUGGCCACUAACGCAUACUAUUGGAGCGGCCGAUAUAGGAUUAGCUAGGGGGGGGGGAAAAGGCUCACAAAGGCAACGAUCCGUAGCUGGGUUGAGAGGACGACCAGCCACACUGGGACUGAGACACGGCCCAGACUCCUACGGGAGGCAGCAGUGGGGAAUGUUGGACAAUGGGCGAAACCCUGAUCCAGCCAUCCCGCGUGUAUGAGAAGGCCUUCGGGUUGUAAAGUACUUUUGGCAGAGAAGCGGUAUCAGCAGAAUAAGCACCGGCUAACUACGUGCCAGCCGCGGCGGUAAUAC
rnacentral:rRNA from 1 species